rnacentral:rRNA from 1 species
UACAGAGACUGCAAGCGUUGUUCGGAUUCACUGGGCGUAAAGGGUGCACAGGCGGCCAAGUGUGUCAGGUGUGAAAGCUCGAGGCUUAACCUCGAAACUGCGCCUGAAACUAUUUGGCUAGAGUACUGGAGAGGGAAGUGGAAUUCACGGUGUAGCAGUGAAAUGCGUAGAUAUCGUGAGGAACACCAAUGGCGAAGGCAACUUCCUGGACAGUUACUGACGCUCAGGCACGAAAGCGUGGGGAGCAAAAGGG